CCCGCGGGAGUGAGGAGGCGUCUUGCGGUGUGCAGCCGGCGUUUAGAGCCAUAGGGAUGCGGCCCGUUACGCGCCUACGACGGGUGAAGGGGUACGGGGGGCGCGGACACCCACGGGUUCGUUGGGUUCGUUGGGUUUGCCAUCCCGCAAACCCAGAUGGCAGUACAUCAGUGCUGCAUCAGUGCAUAAUUAUAACCUACAGCCCUCAGGUGUUCCAACCGCUCCGUGUGCGCAAGCGGGUUACGGUCGUAGGUGUACGGCAGGGCGCGAGGGAUUCGGGGCGGGAGUAGCGGCAAGCAGCCAAAACAACCCCCAGACCACACAGCGAAAGUGUCACCUAGACAGCAGAAGCCAGGGCAG
rnacentral:lncRNA from 1 species